UGGGGAAUAUUGCACAAUGGGGGAAACCCUGAUGCAGCAACGCCGCGUGGAGGAUGAAGCAUUUAGGUGUGUAAACUCCUUUUAUAAUGGAAGAUAAUGACGGUACAUUAUGAAUAAGCACCGGCUAACUCCGUGCCAGCAGCCGCGGUAAUACGGGGGGUGCAAGCGUUACUCGGAAUCACUGGGCGUAAAGAGAGUGUAGGCGUUUUAUUAAGUCAGGUGUGAAAUGCUAUGGCUCAACCAUAGAAUGGCAUUUGAAACUGGUAGAAUAGAGUAUAGAAGGGGUAGGUGGAAUUAGUGGUGUAGGGGUAAAAUCCGUAGAUAUCACUAGGAAUAUCCAAAGCGAAGGCGACCUACUGGGAUAUUACUGACGCUGAGACUCGAAAGCGUGGGGAGCAAA
rnacentral:rRNA from 1 species